rnacentral:rRNA from 1 species
GAAAGGCGCGCGAUACAGGGUGACAGCCCCGUACACAAAAGCGCAUGUGCUGUGAGCUCGAUGAGUAGGGCGGGACACGUGGUAUCCUGUCUGAAUAUGGGGGGACCAUCCUCCAAGGCUAAAUACUCCUGACUGACCGAUAGUGAACCAGUACCGUGAGGGAAAGGCGAAAAGAACCCCGGCGAGGGGAGUGAAAAAGAACCUGAAACCGUGUACGUACAAGCAGUGGGAGCACAGGUUUACCUGUGUGACUGCGUACCUUUUGUAUAAUGGGUCAGCGACUUAUAUUCUGUAGCAAGGUUAACCGUAUAGGGGAGCCGUAGGGAAACCGAGUCUUAACCGGGCGUUAAGUUGCAGGGUAUAGACCCGAAACCCGGUGAUCUAGCCAUGGGCAGGUUGAAGGUUGGGUAACACUAACUGGAGGACCGAACCGACUAAUGUUGAAAAAUUAGCGGAUGACCUGUGGCUGGGGGUGAAAGGCCAAUCAAACCGGGAGAUAGCUGGUUCUCCCCGAAAGCUAUUUAGGUAGCGCCUCGUGAAUUCAUCUCCGGGGGUAGAGCACUGUUUCGGCUAGGGGGCCAUCCCGGCUUACCAACCCGAUGCAAACUGCGAAUACCGGAGAAUGUUAUCACGGGAGACACACGGCGGGUGCUAACGUCCGUCGUGAAGAGGGAAACAACCCAGACCGCCAGCUAAGGUCCCAAAGUCAUGGUUAAGUGGGAAACGAUGUGGGAAGGCCCAGACAGCCAGGAUGUUGGCUUAGAAGCAGCCAUCAUUUAAAGAAAGCGUAAUAGCUCACUGGUCGAGUCGGCCUGCGCGGAAGAUGUAACGGGGCUAAACCAUGCACCGAAGCUGCGGCAGCGAACGUAUCACCCAAGACAACUUUACGGAGUUGACGAUUGACGGAGCGAAGCGACGUCAAAGCGUUCAUUAAAGUCGAGUUGGCUUAGGGAUACGUUCGUUGGGUAGGGGAGCGUUCUGUAAGCCUGUGAAGGUGUGUCGUGAGGCAUGCUGGAGGUAUCAGAAGUGCGAAUGCUGACAUAAGUAACGAUAAAGCGGGUGAAAAGCCCGCUCGCCGGAAGACCAAGGGUUCCUGUCCAACGUUAAUCGGGGCAGGGUGAGUCGACCCCUAAGGCGAGGCCGAAAGGCGUAGUCGAUGGGAAACGGGUUAAUAUUCCCGUACUUGGUGUUACUGCGAAGGGGGGACGGAGAAGGCUAUGUUGGCCGGGCGACGGUUGUCCCGGUUUAAGCGUGUAGGUGUGUGUUCCAGGUAAAUCCGGUU